UACAGAGGGUGCAAGCGUUGUUCGGAAUUAUUGGGCGUAAAGCGCGUGUAGGCGGCUAUGCAAGUCGGGUGUGAAAGCCCUCAGCUUAACUGAGGAAGUGCGCCCGAAACUGCAAAGCUUGAGUACCGGAGAGGAUGGCGGAAUUCCCCAAGUAGAGGUGAAAUUCGUAGAUAUGGGGAGGAACACCGGUGGCGAAGGCGGCCAUCUGGACGGAUACUGACGCUGAGACGCGAAAGCGUGGGUAGCAAACAGG
rnacentral:rRNA from 1 species